UAGAUUAACAAAACAAAGCAUGAGAAUACUACCUUUAGAGAGUCAUGCUGUAUUUUUAGAAGAACUUUUGACAUGUUUAGGGAUGUAAAAGUUGUUUGAAUAUUAUUUAUUGGAUAUUCCAUUUCCUGGCAAUUGACUAGUCUCACAUAUAUAUUACCAGCCUCAAAUGGGCACACUGCAGAGCUGGUUUGAUGCAGAAUUCCGCUUGGCUCAUAUGUGCUCUGUCAAGAAAAAAGAGUGGAUAGUUGUCCGGGCCACUCUUUUAAGGUGAUCUGAGAGCUUCUUUUUGAUUUAUUUCAACAUGAUAUGCUGUUGUGGAAAGCAUAUAGCAUCACUCUGCAGAAAGAACCAGUCGUUCAGCAUCUGUAUACGGGACGACCAACUCCUGUGUUCACAAAAAUGAGCGUUCUCCAUCAAACCACUGGUGAUGCUGAUGACUCAUGGUGGAUUUAUGCUAAUAAUCCAUUGUUUCUGGUCAUAAUAUGUUUCUUAGCCAAAAGAAUUUUGAAAUUCAUUAAAUGUGGGUUUUGGAGUUGGGAAUGAAUUUUCGGGCUGCAGAUGAUAUGAGUGUCAUGCUGUGAAAGCAUGGAAGAGAUUGUGUUUUGGAAUGUUGGUGAAGGUAAUGACUCGCUUUUUUUUUUUUUUUUUGUCUAGGUUGUGAAUGCAAGGUCUACUAUUCCAUUUUUAUUUUUAGGUUCAUAAUUUUCGUAGUUUAUAAUAUAAUUUUGAAUGUUACAGAACGAUUGUGUUGUUUGUAGUUGUCAAACAAGUUGAAAGCUAUACUAAUGAAGAGAAUUACUAUGUUGCACAUAACGAUUGUGUUGUUUGUAGUUGUCAAAUCUUGCAUGGGAUGCUAUACUUCUACA